rnacentral:rRNA from 1 species
UACGUAGGGUGCAAGCGUUAAUCGGAAUUACUGGGCGUAAAGCGUGCGCAGGCGGCUUUGCAAGACAGAUGUGAAAUCCCCGGGCUUAACCUGGGAACUGCAUUUGUGACUGCAUGGCUGGAGUGCGGCAGAGGGGGAUGGAAUUCCGCGUGUAGCAGUGAAAUGCGUAGAUAUGCGGAGGAACACCGAUGGCGAAGGCAAUCCCCUGGGCCUGCACUGACGCUCAUGCACGAUAGCGUGGGGAGCAAACAGG